rnacentral:rRNA from 1 species
ACGCUCGACACCUACUGGAGGCAGCAGUGGGGAAUAUUGCACAAUGGGGGAAACCCUGAUGCAGCGACGCCGCGUGAGCGAAGAAGUAUUUCGGUAUGUAAAGCUCUAUCAGCAGGGAAGAAACUGACGGUACCUGACUAAGAAGCACCGGCUAAAUACGUGCCGCAGCCGCGGUAAUCUGAGCGGGCUGGCAAGGC